rnacentral:rRNA from 1 species
AUUGAACGCUGGCGGCAGGCCUAACACAUGCAAGUCGAACGAGCGGCGGACGGGUGAGUAAUGUAUGGGGACUGCCCGAUAGAGGGGGAUAACUACUGGAAACGGUAGCUAAUACCGCAUACUAUCGGAUAACCCAUAUGGGAUUAGCUAGUAGGUGGGGUAAUGGCUCACCUAGGCAAAGAUCCCUAGCUGGUCUGAGAGGAUGAUCAGACACACUGGGACUGAGACACGGCCCAGACUCCUACGGAGGCAGCAGUGGGAAAUAUUGCACAAUGGGCGCAAGCCUGAUGCAGCCAGUCCGCGUGUAUGAAGAAGGCCCUAGGGUUGUAAAGUACUUUCAGUCGGGAGGCGUUACCGACAGAAGAAGCACCAGCUAACUACGUGCCAGCAGCCGCGGUAAUAC